ensembl:miRNA
AGUGACUUAAUACAAUACACAGGGCAGUGUUUGGUGCUUUGUGUGUGU